rnacentral:rRNA from 1 species
UACGUAGGGGCCGAGCGUUGUCCGGAGUUAUUGGGCGUAAAGGGCUCGUAGGCGGUUUGUCACGUCGGGAGUGAAAACUCAGGGCUUAACCCUGAGCCUGCUUCCGAUACGGGCAGACUAGAGGUAUGCAGGGGAGAAUGGAAUUCCUGGUGUAGCGGUGAAAUGCGCAGAUAUCAGGAGGAACACCGGUGGCGAAGGCGGUUCUCUGGGCAUUACCUGACGCUGAGGAGCGAAAGUGUGGGGAGCGAACAGG